UACUCUCCACCCCCACUGUGGCUAUUACUAGAAUAGUAAUAUUUUAAUUUCAUUAUGAUACUUUUUCAGUCUGUUCUAUAAAAAUAAGUAGAUCUACAUGAAAUUGCAGGUUUACAUUUUAAAAUAGUUUUUGAAUAAAAUUAGCUGUAUUUGUUCUCAUUAGCAAAAUUAGAGUUCUGGAAUAAAUGUGAAAAUUUAGUAGCAGCCCACAGUUAUUUCAAAACAAAGCCAAGCAUAAUCACGAGACCCACAUCAAAUACUGCGUUAAAAGAAGACAAGAGGUGAGUUUGCACACAGCAGAGUUGUACUGUGUAAAUGACUGGAAUUGUCAGAAUGGAAAUAAGGCAACAAAUUCACCAAAUACUAAAUGUUUUUUCCACUUCAGAUGAGUAUUGCUCAACCCAAACCUGCCAUUCUGGCAGAACAGCUUCUUUAUUUUCUGUACUCAUUUGGAUGUGAGUAAAAUGGAGAUGCGAAAUACUGGUGACUGGAUUUUUUUGGUCUUGGUGUAGUAUUCCUAGCCUAAGAAGUGCAGGUUUGGAAAAUAACAUCUGCAAGAAAGAGAUGGCUGAGGGAACUUCACGGAAAAAAGUAUGGAGUUCUUCACAUAGCAGCAGUGAAGCCAUCCAUAAUCUUUUGUCUCAUUUACCUAAUUCUUGGCAACAAUAUAAUUGUAAAACAAACAGAGAUCUGUAGUUGAGCUUGAAUGUUGCUUCUUCAUUUCCCUCAUAAAAGGAGGCUUCUGUGUGUAGUACUGUUUUAGAGGUGUGUCCUGUCAGAGCCUAACUUUUGCAGAGGUGGAUUAUGUAGGCUUUUUUUGUAUAUCAAGAGAUUUACUCAAGCAAACAGUCUUUUAUACCACUCCUUAUGCCAUUUACGUGAUUGUUUAAACAGUAUUUGUUGCUCUAACCUUGUGAUUUACUUUAUAAUGUGCAGUAAAAGAGGAGGCAAUGGGCAAGUGCGUGCCAAAGAUGAAAAUUACAUAUGUGGAGUAAUUUUUUGUGUUCAAAAGAUGUUCACACAUCAGGUCCAAUUUUGUUCCAGUAUGUUUUUGUUGUCAUCAUAUUUUGCUGAUUUACUCAAAAGAUAUUUUUCUAAAGAAUGGAAAUGAAUGGAUUGAUGAUGGUUGAAUGGAAAAUACAGGUGACUGUAGAGGAUACAGAACUCACUCAUUCACUUUAUUUCUGCUGAGUUCAUGUAACUGAAAAUUGUUAGUAUCAGAAUAUGUAUGUGAUACAUUUUGUCCUGGUUCUGCUGCUGGGAAAGAGUAUGACAGAGUCAUUCACAGCAGGGAAAUGUUGAAGACUGCUUCUGCCUGACUUUGCUCAAGGAAAUGUGGGGAAGUUCUGGAAGAAGCAGUAAAAUCUUACCUACUUUCUAUCUGCUUCAAAUUUCUUGGGUGCCCACUACUUUUUCAUCGAUGGAAAAGACAAGCACUGCAUAGGUGCACCCUCCUCUGAAUUUACUUUUUUUCAUCUGUUAUUAAAUAAACAGCAGAGAGCAGUAAUGCUACUUUCUUAACUAGUGUUGCCUUCCCUUUGCUCAUAUUGCUAGGUAUUCCCAUCUCGUGCUUAGUACAGAAUCUUUGCGUGUAUUACCUUGCUUAAAACACUGUUUAGCAUGUACUUUGUGAUCAAACGUCCAAUACUAGCAUGAAGUGUGGAACAGUGUUUGCACUGGGAUUGUCCUUUGCAUCGUGUGUAGCAAGGUGUUUGAGAAAACAUUUCCUCCCCAUCAGCACCAUUCUCAGUUACUGUCCCAUUCAACAGCUAUGGCAGUAGCCCGCAGGUAAAAAGCAGAUUCCACUUCAAUCAGCAACAAAUACUUUUUCUUCAAUCAAGGAACUUGCAAUUAGAGCCAGAUUGUUUCACAGCUCUUAUACCUUGCUGUUCAGAGAAAGCAAACCUGCUCCUUAUUUGAGGGCAGAAACUCUAAUCCUUGUCAACUCCACCUCGAAUUCUAAGUUGUUGACUGAGGAAAGAGUCCACUUCUCACACUGGCUGGAAGUUUUACAUCUUUUAAAUGACGUCUGCUAGCAGAGAACAAUAGUUAGACAACAUCUUGCCCUGAGGCUGUACAAGAGUGAGUGACUCUCUCUUGUGUGUUGCAUAAGCAAAGCUGUUGCCAUUGGUCCAAACACAUUAGCAGUUAGAUUUUUCCUAACUAGAGUUAUUUUAGGAACUGGGGACCUUUCAUCAUUCCAUUGUAACUAUGGUAAUUCUAAACACCAGUAGACAAGAAAUACAAUUCUGUGAUUUCAUGACAACCUGGAGUAUUCAUCUGAAAAAAAUAAUCUGUCAGGAUUAUUUUUUUUAAAAGGGUGAAACACAGUUAUAGACUGUUCUGAAUGUACUGUUGUCUUGGUAUUAAGGAAUUGUUUGAAUUAUAUGCGUGUUCUUGCAGGUGUCAAGUGGAAAAAGGUCCAUCUACAAAUGUGCAUGGAGAUGGGAAUGCUUCAUUUAAUCCUGCAUAGGUGCUUAGGACCAUUGUAGAUGCAUGUACGGGGAAGGCAGACAAAACCAAAGGGAGAACUAUUGUCUAUCUGAUCUCUAGCUGGGUAUGGCAGUGCAUCAAAAGUGGAGUUUGAAACUUUUGUUUUCAAGCAACUGAGUCUGACCUAGGGAUUAGUUGUGUUCCUUAUCCCCUUACCCCAGUUAAGACCGGUACAAUAAAAACAGUCUUCAAACACC